rnacentral:lncRNA from 1 species
GAUGAUGCCUGUAGUCAGGGCCGGCCCGGAGAUUUCGAAGACCCAUUGCAAUUUAAUAAAAAUGAGCCCUAAAUUUUGAAAAACCUCAAAGAUUUAAGCAAAAAUAUUAUAAAUUUUAAUUUCCUAUUGCAAAUACAUAAAAUUAAAAUUUCAAUCAAAAUAAUACACAAAAAAGAAAAUGGCUUCUAUAUUAUUGGCUUCUUGGUUCUAGAUUUUCCACACUUCAAAUCACCAAGAGGGUAUCAAAACUGUAAAAAAAAAAAAAAUCGAAAUCAUCUGAUAUGUUUCAUUAUCAGGAAAAAAGCAAAACAAUGAUAUUAUAUCAGAAAUCCGAAAAUGACUUUAUGAUUUUCGAUGCUACAAAUCAGAAUUUACCUUAAUUCCUUGUUCCUUUUGAGUUAUGAUUUACGAAAACUCAUAUCAUUGUUCCUCCGAUUUACUGAUUACUAAUUUGGAAGUAGUAGAAAAAGAAAAAAGAAAAACUGAUCAGAAAUUUGCAGCUUCUGAAAAAAGAAAAAUUGAUCAGGAAAAGAAAGGACAAAACUAAAGUUGAAUGUUACCUUCUGAUUUUGAAACUUCAAGCAGGUAACAAAUCUGAGGCUUCUAAAAUCGUUGGUAAGCUUUGUUAGAACUGAAAUCGUUGGUAAGCUUCAUAGUUUUGAGAAGAAAGAAAAAGAAGUAAGAUUGUUGAUCGCUUGUGUCUUUGAUAUUGGAAUGGAAUCGACUUAUGCUUCCUGUCACCCAUGUGUGCGUUAUUAGUGAUGAAGAAACCAGAAACCAAAGAGUUUUUUUGUUUUCCCAAAAAUUAUCCUGCUCCCUCCUUGCUGCAUCGGUUGAUGGAGCAAUAAAAAAACUAACCUAAUUUUAUUGGGCCAUGGAACGAACAUACUCUAGUAUAAAUGCUAAAAAAUAUUAGGCCCUAUAGUUUUUUGGGCCCUGUUCACAGGCACAUGAUGAACCUGCCAUGGGUCGGCCCUGCCUGUAGUAUGCUUUUCAACCAAAUAGUGGGGGCAAGUUGGCUUCUAAUCAACAAACCCAGAUUUAAGUUCUUGUGGUGUAAAUUGAUUCCUCUUACUUGAAAUUAAUGGACAAAUUGUUGCCACAAAGUAAAUGGGUAAGACAAGGUUUCUAACGCCAGAUGUUAUGUUCAUUCAAUUGAGAGAAAUCCAUGGAGAUGGAAAGUUUGAUGAGUUAAAGCUUAGAAUGUUGUUAGUAGAGUUUUAAGAGUUUAGUUAAAGAUAAUUUUGAAAUAAUAUGCUACUAGUGGAUAGCCUAAUUUUUUGAACCUUGUUGCAAUAAAUCUAUUAUAUUUGUUAUUGAAUGGGGUCAAUUUAUAUAGCAGAGUAGAUAAAUUGGAAAUAAAUGAGUUUUUACACAAUUUUGGUGAGGUGAGUAAAUUACAUGGGCAUUGUUAAUGGCUAGUAAACGUGCACAAAAAAACUGGUUCGGAAACCUAAAUCGGUUCACGAUGAACCGAUCCGGUUCAGAAAUCGAACCGCCAAUGGCACCAGUUAUAGCUGUUGGGACCAGUUUAGUGAGAUCUGAUUUGCGGAACUUGUUUACGCAGUGUACUAUUGUUACUGUUUUGUUUUUUGGUUUAUUCUAACGAUAUUGUGGCCAUUUGGAGGUGCACCAAUUUUGUUUUAGGUCCCUUUGCUCCGUAUUAACCAUUCCUUGAUGGUAUAUAUAGGUAUUAGAUGUUGAAGCUUACUCAAACUACGAAAACACUCUCUUAAAUAAAAAUAAAAAUAAAAAUAAAAACCUCUCAAGUCAAGCAAUGGAUUCGGCUUCCAUUGGUGUUGGAGAUUCACCGAGUAAUAUUACGUCUAAAAGAUACUUUAGAAAUGUUUUAUGACAACCUUGCGGAACAUAAUCGGGUUACGAAUUAUCCGGAGUCAAGUUGGGAUACUAUCAAACUUGUUUCGGAAAUGCUUGGAGUUUUAAAAAAAACAACUACUUCUUUAUUGAGUUUUGUUAUCCUGCAAGUUGUUUAGUUUUAAACCAAAUCUUAAUGUGUUCGAAAAUAAACGAGUUUGGACUUAGAGGCAUAAUGUUUGCUAAUAUGGUGAAACCUAGGCAUGUAAAUUUCAGUCGAUCCGGUGGGGAACUAUAGGGAACCUAACUGACUCGCCUUAAUCGAGGAUGGGUAUUCCCCACGUACAUAUUUAUGGGGUAGGGAUCCCUAUUAGGCUAAAAUCAAGGAUAGGGUAGGGACCGGGAAUAUCAAUGGUGGUGUGGCACCUUUGGUCAAUUCUUCCUCAUGUAGUAGGAUUAUAAUAAAUGGUGUGUGGCACCUUAGUUAGAUCUUCCUGAUCUUCCUAAUGAUGUGCUUUCAUUAGUUAUAAGGCAACUUGGAAUUGUUGAUUUUCUUGCAUUCAACAGAGUUUGUACGUCGUGGAGAUCACUGGGAGUGAUAUCCAACAAGAACAAGUUUAUAGCGUCCAUACCACUCAUGUCCAUAUCAUUCUCUACUUAUGCUAAUGAGAAAUAGUACACCUAAAGGACUUUGAAUGAAGAAAGUAGAAAACCAUUAUUCCUCAUUCUUAUUAUAAGGAAUGUAUUAGAGUAAUAUGUGGUUACUAGAUUUUUUUGGGUGAGGAAGUCAAACACUUUUUGCUUGUGAAUCAUAUCACAAGGCAUGAACUUCAAUUCCAUUACAAUAAAAAAAAAAGAAUUAGUGGCGAAAAAAGACGCCGGUAAAGGUUAGAAAUGUCGCUCGUAAAGCCAAUAGCGACGACAUGUCACCGGUAAUACUCACUGUCGCCGCUAAUAACCUUGUCGCCAGUAAUAACAUUUUUCAAUUUUUUUAAAUAGACACUUUCGGGUGCAAAAAAACUAAUACUUAAUGACAUUAAAUGCAUAAUUUUUUUGUUUUACAUAACGACAUCUGAUUAGGUACAAAAUAGUGUUAUAAUUUCAUGCCAACAUAAACAACCAAAGUGUUAUAAUUCCAACAAGUACCAACNNNNNNNNNNNNNNNNNNNNNNNNNNNNNNNNNNNNNNNNNNNNNNNNNNNNNNNNNNNNNNNNNNNNNNNNNNNNNNNNNNNNNNNNNNNNNNNNNNNNNNNNNUCAUUGAGCAUUACCCAAAGAUUUUCCAACUACAUAAUAAAUAACAUCAUAUAUAAAGUUAUAAGUUAAAUCAUCAAACAUAAAAAACUACCAAAUCAACAUGCAUUUAUUGAUGUCAAAGUGCAUUGUUAUUUUUAAACUAGGGACAAAAAACCAAAGUACAUUGCUAUUUCUUGCACUUGGGAAAAAAAAACCAAUUACCAAAGCUUUUAGCAAAUAAUCACCACAAACCAAAAUUACCAAAUCAACAUGCAUUUAUUGAAAUUAAAUAAUCUUGUUUUAUAUGUGAUGGUUAUAACUGUAGUGGUUGUUGCGAUGGUUGUGCAAUCGACGGGAUAGCAGAAGGUUUCUGCCCGAUGCCUCUGAUAUGGUCACGCCGUUCACCUAAUACUCUCUUGAAAGUAGCUCUUUCUUCAAUUGGUGUUAAAUCUCUUUCACCUUGUCGCCCUUGUGUUUGUUCUAAGAGCUCUUGCACUAACCAAUAUUGUGUUUUCCAAAAAUGAUUAACAAUUAAGUAUAAAUAAACACUUAAUUAUAUGAUAAAAUUAUAAUUAAAUACUUACGUAUUGUUGUUCUGCAUGGUCAUUAACAAAUACAUCAUUCUUAUCGGUAUGAGCAUUGUGGAACAUUUCAACUAUCUUCAUGUUCUAUUUAACAUUAUAAAUUAUAUUAUAUUAUAAAUAAAUAAAUACAUAUAUCGUACGUUGCCUUUUUAUAGCAAGUACUGUCAUACAAACUCGACCCCUCACGGUUCACGGUUGUGUUCAUCCGUUUGGAAAUACUCAAUUGCUUUCCUCCAAUUAUCAACCUCCAUAUCAUCUGGGGGUGGCUAAUGUUCUCGGGAUAUCCUCAUACCCUCCCACUUUAAAAAAAUAUGUUUUUACAUCAGCUUUACGCUCUCAAUAACCUUUUAACAAAGCCGCUUCAAAACUCUCUAACAACAUAGCAGCCUCUGGAUCUCGGGACAUCCGAUCAAAAUCAAACUUUGUGAUAGCUUAUUUUAUUUCCUUAUUUUUAUUCGUUUAUUUUAGAUUUUAGAUCUUUUUAUCAUUAAUGCAUUGUAUUUUAUUUAUUUUUCUUUAGUAUGGAUCGUACCGGGUGUUUGUUAUGUUGCAUGAGAUAUUUUGUAGGUUUUUCGGUGCUUGUUGCGGUUGCGGGUUGAUUUGAGACGGGCUUAGUGGGCUCCCGAGGCAUUAUUGGGCUUGGCGGAAUCAAAGAGGAAGAAUUGGGCUUUGAAAGUUAUUGGCUUGGAUUAUUUGGGCUUGUGAAGAUGGAUCAUAAAAUUCUAAUUUUGGGCUUGGAGUAUCCAUUUGGUGGCUAAAUGAUGAUUGGUGCAUUUCAAAUUACAUGGACAAAGGGGGGACCAAAGGAAUCUUUGGUAGUGGAAGGGUGGAGUGGCUUGGUGGACCAAUAGCAUUAUAGCAACAUUUGCGCGGGUGGAAUUUUCGUCGCGCGGGUACCCGCGCGACUGCCCAGUUUGGGCAUUUUGGUCAUUUUGCACACCAUAACCCUUGGGGAUCAGAUCUAGAAGCUCAUACACGUUUUUCCACCAUUGGAGAUCUGCAAGAGGCGAUUUUGGGAGCUAGAAAUCAUUUCCUUUCAUCUUUCCAAAUCUUAGGUAGUUUCUUUAUGCAAUUAGAUUAUUGUUCUUGUUACUUUAUUGCCAUGAGUGGCUAAUACUCUUAUUUGGUUGACUUUGGCUGAAAACCAAUGAAUGUUUGUGGGUUUUGAAGGAUUUAUGUUGAUUAUCAAUUUAUUCCAUGUUUAUGAUUCUAGUUUGCAAUUCUUAUGCUUAUUUGAUGCUUUGAUCAUGAGCUUAGUAUUUGAUUGAGCAAUGGUUGAUUUAUUUCAUUGAUUUUGCAUUGGAUCAUUGAAUUUAUCUAAAACAAAGGCUUUAUGAUGGUAGAAAUCAUCUCUAGCUUAUGAAUCAUAACUCCUUUAUGGAUGUGUAAGCAUUUGACAUCCUCUAGGAAUUGGGGAUUCCUUCAUUCUUAAGGCUAAUUGAUUUCUUGGGAUUAAUUGCUUCAAUUGACCCUUGAUCUUAAUUAAGAAGGUGUGUUGUGGGCUUCCCCAACCUCCAUACUACCUAUGAGGAAUCUUGGCAUAUCAUGCUUCAUGAUUGCUAUAACCAAUUUGGGAUGAAGGAUAAGCUUUGUAUUAGAUCCUAAUGAUAAACACACAAAUGUUCAUUGUGUUGAAUUGCCUUAGUUAACCAAUUAUUCCCAACCUUUGAGCAUCUCAUCAACUUGCUUAAUUGCAAGGUUUUUAGUUAUUCAAGUAUUUUAGUUUUCAAGUAAUCAAACACCCCCCUUUUAGUUUAAUUGUAGUUAGUUAGUUUAAUUUCACUAGUUCUAUUGAAUUGCAUUGGUGAUUGAAUACAACCAUUUCCCCGAGGAUCGAUACCCCUUUUUACCAUUAUAUUACGUUUAUUUAGCAAUCAAAGGGUGUAAUUUGCUUGGUGGGCUUGACAUCCCACCACUUUGUCUAUAGAAAAAAAAGUUAGCCAAGUAAAAACCAAUCAUAAUUAACCAUAUUCUUAUAUAAAUAAUUUACCUCUAAAUGUUGUUGUACUAUAUCCUUUAUCAUUGAAAAAAAAACUCUUUUCCAAGUUCUUUUAUCAAAAAGGACCAUCUAACACAUUAUUUUCCCAAUUUCGCAUGCAAACAUGUCUUUUGGUUGUCCUACGGGAUCAUAUGUCAUAUUCGUAUCAUAGUUAAUGUCAAUCGGUUCUCCCUUAUUGGUUAGAGCUAUUUUUUGAGCUUAAUGUUUUUUUCUUUUCCUCUAAUCUCCUGUGUGGCACAACUACAAAUAUAAUUAAAAAUUAUUAGAAACAAUAUUUUCAUAAUAACCGAAUAAAAAUAGUAAAUAAAAAUUCAUAAUAAAAUUUACCAUCAAUAGCGGCGACAGUCAAUAACGGCAACUUGAGGUUAUCACCGGUGAUAAUAAACAAUAGUGGUGACAACAAAGGAAGGAACGUAUCCUGCUUCUUUUUUUCAUGACCUUUAGCAGCGACUCUGUUUACCUUUAGCGGUGACAUUUUGUCUUCGAUAUUGAGUGUGUGCGAAAAGGCCCCCAUCCAUUGGAUUAGAAUGUUAAUCGGAUGGUUAGGAUUUACGAGAACGUGUAACUGUGGAUUUGGUCUUGCAUUACGAGCGACGCUAUUAACAGUGAAAAUGAGCUUUAGCUGCGACUCAAGCUUGAGUCACGCUAAUAGCGUAGUGGUAAUGACGUUAUUUCUUGUAGUGUUGCCUGAUGUUCCCGGUCAAUUAUUUAGUUGCUUUAAGGCUAUCCUUGUGUUUGCACCUUCAAUAUCUAAGUGGGUGUUUCUUGUGGUUAGAAAAUGUGAUUUUCAUUAAAUAUGGUUUUGAAGACCGGGUAAACGAUAAUGGACUUGUGUCUCCUCCUCUUUCCAUGUUGAUGAUUUAGUUGCCUUCAAGGGGAAGAUAUAUACCAUAGGCUCAGUUAGUGAGACUAUGAGAAAUAAAACUCUAUCCAGUCCUAAACUGGUGUUACUCGAAACCAAGAAUUUUUAGAAACCAAAUUUCAUUUAUCUUGGAUUUGUGAGUUCUAUUGAAAAUCUUUAUGUGAUAGUUCAGGUUUCAUGUGAAAACACAAGUGAAGAAUAUUUUUUAUUUCGUAGCAACACACAUUAUUUUUACCAUAGCUCACUAUUCGACGAGAUAUAUUGUUACCAAUGAAAAUGAAAAGUAUUUCCUUUUUCCUGAUUAUUGUAAUGGAAUCGGUGGUGAAUGACGGUGCCGCCGGAUGGAUUAUCCUUUGAUCAUCUCAACCGUGAAACGUUGGUGUCCGUCUCAACCCUCUCCCUGAAUGAAGUCGUGUGAGAGAGAGAGAGAGAAAGUGAAAUUCUAGAGAGAGAGAGAGAGAGAGAGAGAGAGAGAGAGAGAUUUACUAAUCGGUCUAGUGGUGGUGUUGGUGUUGGUGAAAAAAAAAGAAAGAAAGAAAAGAAACUCUGACCAUAAAACUUGUUAAAGCAACAAUCUUGUAGUAAAAAAAAAUAACUUCUUUGAAAAGACUUCCACUAUAGCUUUUUCUAAAAGUUUGAAAGUUUUUUUCAUUGAAAAAGCUUUCAAAAGCUCCAAUUGUGGAGCAACCAACUCUUUCAACCAAAGAAACUGUUUUGUAGGGCCCAAAACAGUUUCAGCCCAUUUUAGCCAAUUAAAUAAGGGAUACAGCGGGCGAUAGGGGCGGUAGCGACAUAAUUGUUCUUAAACCAUUUGCUCAAGUUCCAAUCCGGUAAAUUGUUUCUCCUAAGUUUGUUUAUUCCAGAGGAUUUGGAUGUUAAUGAUCAUAUGAUAUGGCGAUAUGUAACUUUCAGUUUCAUCAAAAUAUUGAGCAUUAACUUUUUUGCUGCACAUUGUUCUUCUCAUAUUGAACAAAUAUAUAAUUUACUCCAACCUUUGAAGAUCCAUAAACUUCCAUCAUUUUCAUGUUCUUCAGUUCCAAAUGACUAUGAUCUGAUUGAUCCAUUGUAGAUUUAUAUAUGAUUCUAAUUUCUUAGAUUUCAUGUUUCCAUUAGUUUAGCUUAGUUCCUUCUACUUUUUAUAUUGCAUGUUCGGUUUUAUUAGUUUAAAUCAAACAGAUGGACAAAUCCAUAUAUGAUUACUGAUGAAAUCAUUAAAAUAGUUGCAUUAGAUUAGUUACUGAUCGAUUUUUGCUUUUUUUUUUUUUUUAAUAUUUUGGUGAAUUGAAUCAUAACUCUAACUGAUAUGAUGAUAUGGUAUUUCUUAUCUUUAUAAUAAUGUGCAUAUAAAGUAAUUUUGGUUAAUUUGUUAGAUUGUCCAGGUUUUGAUUGAAUUUGGCAUUUUUGUUGCAUGUAAUGAAAUACUAUUUUGUUAAAAGCAUUCGUUUUUUCCACUGCAUACAUAAGUUUAUGAUUUUGGGUGACUUGUUUGUCGGUAAGAAAAGUAUUUAGUAAAAGAAUAAUGAGUAAAUUUUCUUAUCUUUUUUUUUUAAUAGUUACUAGAACAUUUAGAUCAAAAAGGGGGUUAAUUACUUCAAGCUUCUGAAAUCUGAUGGACGUUAAUCAUAUUCUGUCAUCCAUUUAUUUGAAACACAAACUAGUGAAAUUGAUGUCAAGUCUUUCAAAUGAAAUUUCCUUCAAUUUUAGGAUCCCUGAGAUCAGUAAUACACCAUAUAUGGCUGAUUCCUUGAAACUUUUUUUUUUUGGUAAAAUUCGGAUAUUUUGUGUAUAUCAAUGUCUCAAAUGCUUUUCUUUUUAGGAAUGACUUGUGGCAACCGUGUUGUGGUACAUUGGUUAGAUCUUCACAAUGAUAUACUCAAGGCAUGAACUUCAUCUUCCUUAUGUACCCUAUGCAGUCUAUGGUUGCCAUGAAAACAUAAACAUCAAGGGUAUCCUUGUCUUUUCAUCUUCAAUAUCUGAGUGGGUGUUUGCUAUGUUGAAUAUAAACACCAGCAAACUAUGGCUUUGUGUCGUGGGUGAAGGAAGAUGGACUCGUGUCUGUGGGUCCCUUCUCAUGUAUGAUAUACAUGCUUUCAAGGGGAAGAUAUAUAUGUUUCACGCCUCUUAUCUUUCAAAUCAAAAGGAGCGUUUAUAUGAAAUAAUACUCCAUCCAAAGCCCAAACUGAUGCCUCCGAUGUUACUCGAAACGAAGAAUUUUUCAGGGAUAUGCUUCUCACCUCUCACGUCCGCAGUUUGUAAGCUCCAGUGAAAACCUUUAUGUGAUAGAUCGCAAAUUAGGACAUCCAUACAGGAUCCACGAACUAGAUUUUGCUGAAAUGAAAUGGGUGUUACGUGAAAACACAGGAGAAAAAUAUGCAUUCUUUCUUGGAAAAUACUGGAAGCCUGGUGAUAAAACUGGAGAAGGCAAGUUCUUUCAUGCAAGCAUGUGGUAUUUCUUCCAUGAUUUUUUGGAUGCUAAUCUCAUACAUGAGUGAUGACUUGUUAGCAGACGUAUCUUUGUUUUUAUGAUUAAUUGAUGCAUAUGUUAGAACAUUGUCAAGGCUUAAUUAUAUCUCAUUCUAUAUUCUAUCUAUCUUAUAUUCUUAUUUUCAUUUGUGCCUAAUGCAUUAUGUGUUGUGUAUUGGCUUAAUUGUUGUGUUGCAGAUAAAGGACCUUUUUUGUCGUGUUUUGGAAUUUGAAAAUGUAUGUUUAUAUAGUUGAUGGAAUCUGGUUCAAUACUGUCUACACCACUCCAUUGAUAAUUAUGAUGAGAAUUUGUUUCACCUCGUAUACAUGUCAAAAUGCAAUGUUAUUCUUGAAAAGCCUAAUGAAAUACAUAGGAUUCGGAAUCCAUAAAUCAUAUUUAAAUAAGCUCUGUAAAAGGACCUCGAGGUAAAAUCGUAAGAACGUUAUAAGUUAUAACAUCAUAUAACAAUAUGUAAAGGCACGUUAUAGGUAAAACAAAAUAAUAAACACAUGGAAAUAAUAAUCGUGUGCAAGGAGAAAAUUCUUAAUUUACUCUAGGUUACUUUGUUUAUGCUCAACUAGACUAUUUAUUUUUUUAGCGUCCAACAAAAAAGUCAAUGAAGGGAGCUUCAAUUCUUGUAACCAGUAAUAAAACCUGGCAAAAAUACAUUAUUGGUAUAAUUAACAGGUCACGAAUAAGUUUAAUGACCUAAACUAUUAAAAAAUACAUCAAGAACCUUUUAAAUCAAAACUCAAUAGUUGAUUGGGUUACAACGGCAUUAACUUAUUAAUUAAUAUGUUAAAUUCUGUCUACAAAAUAGUUAUAGAUCACAUGGAGAGUGAUGAAAAGGAAGAUCCCAUCUGCAGUGGCAUUGAAAUGCAAAGGGGUUAAUAUAGAAAACGAUAACUGUGGCGUCUGUGUUAACGGAUUGAAAUGCUCUGAUCAUAUUCUGGUACAAUGUCCAUUUGCAUGUGAAGUCAGAAAGAUUAUUUUCAAUUGGUGUGGCUUACAACCAUUCUCAUCAGUUGGAGAGUUAAUCACUUUUGCAGAAAAUUAGGGAAGCAACCCAAGGAAGGCGAUAAGAUUCCUCAAGAUAUGUCAUGGCCUAAUCUGGAUCCUUUGGAAACUUAGGAAUGAGCGGGUGUUCAAUGGAGUAUUUCAUACUCCCACUUAUGGUGCAGGGGCAAUUAAGUCAAUGGUGUACUUCUGGACAAAGUACAUGGGCAAUGAAGGAAUCGGUGAUUGGGAUAACUGGAACAUGUCUCCAUUUAUACUUUAAGUUCAUAAUAAUGUAUAUCAUUCCAUGUAUGUUUCUGUUUCGACCUUGUACUUCUGUACCCUGCUAGUUACUUGCUAGUAGUGGUUCGUUUUUAUUAAUAUUAUUCGACGGUUCCAAAAAAAAACGUGGUAAGGCGGGGCGUUCCAUCUAACCAAUUUUUCCUUCGCUUCUUAAAAGGUGUUUUUUUUCCCUUAAUUAUGUAGGUUGUAUCUUGAAGGAAUCAUGUUGUCCCAUAUCAAAUCAAAUUUUACAUCUUUUUGUCCCCUAAAAUUUUCAGCUUGUUUUGUAUUCUACUCGGUUUCCAUUUUCUUCAGAUAUGUGAUACAUUUUGAAAAUCUAUAUUUACCCUCUUAAGUUUCCUACUUUGCAUUUAUUUCGAUUUUAUUUAUUUCCCUUUCAUUUUAGUUUUUCAUUUAUGAUAUUUAAUCCUUUUGAAUGAAUUUAAAUGUCAAUAAACUCCUAUAAUACCUCAUUUUAUCAUAAUGAUCACAGUUAAAGAAUGUUAUUUAUUUAUGAUUAUAUAUAACAUUAAUGGACCAUUCAAUUCUCAUUAAUAUCAAUCCAUCUUACUCGAAUCUAACUAUGAAGGCUACAAUUCUCUUCCAUUUAGAAUGAUUCCAUCAUUUAGAUAAGGAUGUGAGUCUUCAAUAUUAUUUCUCCCAUCUCUAUCUCUUUAAGAUUACCUAGUAAAGACAUAGUUUCUUAUAAUACCAACUCUUCAAAUUCUUUCCUAUUUUUGUUUUUUGUUUUCUAUAAGAAUAUAUUUAAAUAAUACAUUAUACCAAACAUAUUAUCUUGUGUAGUUGGCUAGAGAUUUUAAUUCAUUAAAGUGUCCCGGUCUAAGUUUAUCAUUGACAUUUGUCUUCCAAAAUUUAAUUUAAAUUUGUCGGAACUAGUUUAUAUAUAAUUUUUUUCACAUAACCAUAAUAGAUUUGUAGUAAAGCCGGUUAAAGAACUUAGGUAUUUGAUUCAUAUCUUAAUAGUAAAUUCUUUUUCAAAUCUAAAUUAAAUUUAAUGACCAUACAAAUUUCUCGUAACCAGAUGGCUUCUAUUUUACUUUUGCUCUGGGUCCCAAAUAUGUUUGGAACGGUCCUGACAAUGUAUUAGUUCUAUUGUGUUUGAUAUUAAGACCUUUGCUUUUCUUUGGCUGAUGAGUAGGUGGAAAGAGGGGAUAAAGUUACUUGUAACGUCCCAAAAUUCAAGACUAAAGAUUUCUUUUAAUAAAACAUUACUUUAAGCAAAGUCAUCAAUCCAAAACAUAAACAUAGUAUUAAUUUCCAAAACACAUGUUCGUUAUCAGAGUAAACAUUCCCAGGCAGUCUAAUUAAUGGUGUGUGCCAUGCGAUCACCCCGAGCUCUUCCCUCCGCUACCGGAAGUACCUGAAAACAAAACUGAAAACCGUAAGCACGAAGCUUAGUGAGUCCCCCACCCUACCACAUACCAUGCAUAACCACAUACUGCACAUAUUGGGCCACGCCCGCUAUCCUGGGCCUCGCCCCUACCUUGGGCCUCGCCCGCUACAACGGCCCCGCCGCUCCAGGCCCCGCCUGGCUUCGAGCCCCGCUCGGAUACAGAUCUGUUUCACUUAGGCCUCGCCUGUCACAGGGCCUCGCCCGCCAACAAAUAAUAACACAUAAACAUAUCACAACACAUAAGCUAAACACAUACGAACUGAUCCUGUCCUAAGGCCUCGCCUAUCCUGGGCCUCGCCCCUGCCCUGUUACUGAUGAGUCAUGGAACCCCGUCCAUGCUCCUACUGAUUGUGAGAUAUGGGCCCAGCCCACACUCACUCUUUUCCUAACUCGGGCCUCGCCCCUGAUCUGCUGCUAAUGAGAUAUGGAACACCAUCCACACUCUGCUAUUGGUGACUUACGGGACCUCGCCCACACUCACCUCCCUACCAGGCACAUACAAGCAUCACACAGACAGCAAGUAUAAACUAUCACAUAAACCAUUCCUUGGGCACCCGCCCGCUACCACUGGACCUCAUCCUGAAUAUCAUACUAGCAUACUGUGUCUAGGGUUAACCCCCGGGUCUUCUACUCAUAACUACAUGGGUCGGCAUUGUGGCCUUAGACCCAUUAUGAUAACUUCAUUUUAUUUACUUAUUUUUAUAGUUUAUUUUAGUACAUUUCAUUCGCAUUUUAGUUAACUUUCAUGCAUAUUUUCCCUUUUGUUAUUUUUAUGACCAUUUCGGGGUACUUUCUAGUUUCUUGAGCAUUAUUGCAGAUUUUCUUGGAAACUAGCGGGGCGGCACUCUUGCGAGGCGAUUGGGCUUGAAGGGAAUUGGAGAUUUCAUGCUUGAUGGCUAUGAAGGUGAUUCAUGGGGUGGACUUGUCAAUUGCUUGAAGGCUUGGAAGAAUUGAGCUUUAAAUUUGAAAGAUGCGGGGGAACAUUCAAGCGUAUGAAAAUUAUUAAUCGGGCGAGUUCACGAGCUUUGGAGGAUUUAGAGAGGUCAAAUUGGGCUUUAAAUGAAGAAAAACUUGAAGAAAAUGGGCUAGGAGGUGAUUGGAUUCGAUCUGGGCUAGUGGGAUAUGCUUUAGAGGCCCAAAAUCUCAAAGGAGCCCAUGUCAGGUACCACCCGCGCAACCCACCCGCGCAGCAGCACGCGGGUCGCGCAAGGCCCUACAGGGGCAAUUUCGGGAAUCCUUCUUUUGAGCUAUUUGAGGAAGGUUGGUGCCCAUCUUUUGCAUACUCUUGGACAUCCGAUUUUUGAAGAUUCUCUCUGGAGUUUUGGAGACUUUUGAAGGCCAAGAACCCUUGAAGAACAUCAUAUUUUUACCUCUUGAUUCUUGCUUAAUGUUUGGUACAAAUUUCUCUAACUUUGUUUCUUUGUGUUUAGCCAUGCUUGGCUAAACUAAUCUUGGUUGACUUUUGGUUAAUCCUUUGAACUUUUGUUGAAUGUUGAAGAAUCCAUGAACAUGUUCUUAAAUCUUUAUGGGAAUGUUUUGUGUUUUAACAUCUUAUCACUACUUGUAUGUUUUAGUUCAUGAGUUUAAAUGUGUUUGUGGUGAUUAGUUGGCUAAUUUCUUGAUUAAGUAAAGGAUCCUCAAAUUAGCAAGCAACAAAUGAUUUUUGUGUUGUUUUUGCUUCACACAAUCAUAAAAACAUUUCCUCCAACAUGGUGGUGAAAGCAUUUGACCCCUCUUGGAUUUGGUGACUUUUUGGUUCUUAAUGCUAGUUGACUUUCACUAAUUACAUGCUAUUUGGAAUUAGUGACUUUGACUAAGGAAAUUGUUAUGAGCUUCUCUAGCCAUUUCAACAAUUAAGAAAAGUCUAGGUAAUCUCAAGCUCCUUGGAUUACUAUAGCCAAAUUAAGGAUUUAAAUCAAAGUAUUGCACCAUUGGAUUCUAAUGAUAUGUUCAUCAAAAGUCAAAGUGAGGAAACUUUAAGUCAACCAUCUCUCCCUUAUUGAUUUUACAUCAAACUCUUAUUUUUGUUGCAUUUGUCUAUUUAAAUCAUAGUUAAUUCUAGUUUGUUUCAAGUAUUUCAAAACACCAAAACCCCCCAUUUUAUUUUUAUUGUCAUUUUACAAGUAUUUUUACAAAGAGAUUUUUCAUAGAGUUAUAAAUUGAACCAAUCUCCGUGGAUUCGAUCCCUUUACCACUAUACACUAUUUUAGUGUGUAAUAUUUAGGGUUAUUAUUUGUGUUGGCCUCGACAACCACCAAAUUUUUGGCGCCGUUGCCGGGGAUUGGUUUUGAUUUAAUCAGUUUGUUUCUCUAUGCCUANNNNNNNNNNNNNNNNNNNNNNNNNNNNNNNNNNNNNNNNNNNNNNNNNNNNNNNNNNNNNNNNNNNNNNNNNNNNNNNNNNNNNNNNNNNNNNNNNNNNNNNNNNNNNNNNNNNNNNNNNNNNNNNNNNNNNNNNNNNNNNNNNNNNNNNNNNNNNNNNNNNNNNNNNNNNNNNNNNNNNNNNNNNNACUAGCCGCUGCCCGACAACUCUCUGAACUCCUGCUCCACUCGCUCCCCGAGCUACCAAUAUCAAUGCAACACUGAGUCUAACUGACCCCCGAAAGACAACAAAGUCAACUCUGGUCAAAGUCACCUUCCAAGUCAACCCUACUCGCCGAGUCACCCUACUGACUCGCCAAGUUCAUAUGUUCAGAGUCCUUCCAUUCGCGGCUUGACUCACCGAGUCGACCGAUUUCCGAGUCCUGACCUGUCCAACUCACCAAGACUCCAUUCGACUCACUGAUUCGAGUCUCAACUCGAAGGGUUUGGGGUUUCGCGACCUGACUCGCCGAGUCCAAGAACAGACUCGCCGAGUUCAAGAAAACCUUCAACAGACUCGCCGAGUUGUUCAUCCCACUCGUUGAGUUCCUCCAAAUCUUCAUGCUACUCGCCGAGUCUACUCAAAGGACUCGUCGAGUCCAUUCAGAUCUUCAAACAUGCAGAGGACUUUUGAGUCAUGCAUGGACUCCAAACUGUAGAUCUACCCUUCCCAAGCCUAUUCCUCACGUAAAGUUGCAAACUUUACGUGUAGAGAAGGAGAUCUAGGCUAAAUACACCAUAAAAUAGGGUUAAAGGCAAGGAGGCUCCAUAAUCAACUCAAGGACAGAUACUUUAUGCUUCUCAAGACCAUAAUAUGCUUAGAUCCGAAGUAGCAACUUCAGAUCUGGCUUCUAACUCAAAAGGAUAGCUAAUCAUGGCUAAAAAGCCCCCAAAACUUACAACCAUAAUAAAUCUAAAGGAGGGAAACGACUUAAUACCUUCAAUAACUCAGAAAGUUUCCCCAAUCUUCAGAUCUAAGGCCAAUCCUUGAAGCUUCAAUGAUUCCCCUCUUUCUUCUUCCUUCAAAUCGCCCAAAAAUGGCUUGGAAGCUUGAAUGAGCAACAAUAGGGCUUAGGGUUCGAUGUUCUGGGUGAAAGAGGCAGUAAAGGAACCCUAGGGGAGAGAAUGAGACGUUUAAAUAGGCUCCAAGUCUCGGAUUUAGGGUUUUCCUCGCCCAGACCAGACUCGCCUAGUCUCCUUGGCUGAAUCGCCGAGUCGGUCACUUACUCCUCAACCCGGAUCCCGCUCCGACUCGCCGAGUUCCUCCUUGGACUCGCCGAGUCGUCCCUUAAAAUUAGGGUUUCCUUUCCUUUCUUGGCCUUCCUGACUUUGGGUGUUACAACUCUCCCCCACUUAAAAUAAAAUUCGUCCUCGAAGUUUGCUAUGGCCCACCGCCUGCGAUCUGCUUCCAAUAUUCCACUAAAUGAUCCAUCACCAGCUGCCUACCUUCGCUGGUCUUCCGCCCGGUCAUUCCGACUAACAUUAAUCAUUGCAGAUAAUCAUCUCGGGUCAACCAUGACCCUGAACAUUCUGGAAACGCAACUUACUCAACUGACAAUCCUUCUGGUACUCACCGAGUACUGCACUGAACCCAUAGGGGUUCAUCCCUUCCUUCCUUGCGCGAUUUCCUUGCCUCCCCAAGGCAAUGCUCCAUAACCAACUAUAUUUCCUCUAUCACUGUGAAGAUCCUAUCUUCACCAAUCCAUUACUCAUGCUACCUCCAGUACGGGUCAUUAUUACUAGUAUCCAAUGGGCAUAUCUUUCUACUAUAAUUUGGUGUCGAGCACCCCAAAAUCAACUAACUGAAUUUCAUCAUAGACUGCUUACCCGCACUGCUACUGACUGAAAAUUCUGCCAUUCCUCAUCUGCCUUCCAGAUGACUGAGACCACCCUGGUCCCUACCUUCCUACCAAUAUCUGGACUACCGGCUUCCCCCGAUCGCUAGUCCCCACACAAUUCCUAGUCGCUCCCAGCGAACUAACUGCCUUGGACCGAAGUCCGGAACUCACUGAAUCAUCACAUAUCAUAACAUGUCAACUAGCAUGAACACAUAUACUGCAUACUGCAUCGUACCAUAGUCUGGAACACAUAACUCAUACCAUAUCUGCAUCAUAAAGGCACUACUUAACUGCUCAAUCUAUUAUGCCAUUCAGGCACUACAAUCCUGGGAUCCCCGAUCCCUUAUCUUGACACUAAGGUCCCUACCAGGUCCCACCUGUGCUGCUAAAACUCAUGAGCCUCGCCCACGGGUCUCACCCGCCUCUAUCCUUCUAGUCCUACUUGUCUAGCCACUCUCGCUCGGGGCUCGCCCACGGGUCUCACCCAACCAUACUACUGAGCAUCCCUGCUCUCAGGUCUCACCUAUACUGCUAUUCUCAUAUGGGCCUCACCCAUGGGUCUCACCUAACUAUAUCCUGGAACGGCCUCUCCCAAGAUCUCACAUCUCUAGGACUAUACAGGAAAACUCCCUAUCAUUCUCAUCCACUUACCCAUUCCUGAUCCCUAUCUGAUCACUAGGAGAUAGGGGCCUCGCCCCAACUCCGCCAACGAAGCUACUAUGGAAUGCUACGGCUACCCCAUAGUCUUACAACACUUUCCACCACUGACUGCUAGUGAAUGCUAUGGCUGCCCUGUAGUCUUACAACACUUUCCACCACUUACUGCUAAUACGAAAGCACCCAGUGCUAUCACUUCUCAAGAUUCUCCUUCUGACUCACCUGAGUCCUACAGGCGAUCCUCCAACCUGAAUUCCCAACCACAUGCUAACCAUCACCACUACACGCACUGGCUGAGGGGGAGUUUCUCAAACUCCUAACCCUGAACUCCUCAAUCCAUUAACGCUGUACCACUUCUUUUCCUUCUCGGAGGCUGCGCACUCAUUCUGGAUCUGCGUGCUCUUACCUUUGCACGCUCGGAGGAUUCUCCCCCACUUCGAUCCUGCUUAACCCUUGCUGCUCAAUGCUCGAAAAGAAAUCCCAACCCUCGCUACCAUUCCAUAAUCAAUCUACUGAGGAACCCCAAGCUUACCAUAGCUAGGGAUCUAACCAAUCCAUUUCCAAAAUUUUACGGCUCCGGACUAGCGAGAUAUACCAAGUUCCUCCUAGGCAUGCUACAGAUACUGCAUCCUAAGCAACCUUCCCCAAUAGAGCACAUCCCUUAAUUACCAUUCAAAUAUCCAAGGUAUGCAGAUGGCAUAAAAGUCGAUCACAAUCAAGCCGCACAAAAAUAAAAUGCUCAUACCGAUAAUGAUGCAGAACCAUAACAAUAUAAUCAUGCACAAAAUAAAAGAACUGAAAACAGAAAUCGCAUACCUGCAACGUUCGAUGAUCCUCGCGCCUCCAAGGUAGUCAUCUGAAAAUCCCUGCCUCCUUCCGCAGGUGCCUCUGCACGGCCCUGACGGCCGUCUGUGAUCCUCAAAGUUGUAGGGGCAGCUGCCAUCACCCGUCUUGCUGAAAACAAACUGGGGCACUGGGCCUUCUUGUGGCCCCGCUGAUUGCAGUGAAAACAUAUCAAGUCUGAUCCCUAUGUCGUGGUAGCAGUACAAUCCUUGAUAAAAUGACCAGUCCGACCGCACUUGAAGCAGCGAGACUCACUGCCGCUACCACUCCUGCACGCGCCCCCGUGCGCCCUGCCAUAUUUCCCGCAUCGGCUACGGUCCUGAUAAUCCCUCGAUCUCGAAUCCGAUCCCUUGGGCCUUUUGCCCGAACUCGCGGCUACCUGAACCUCAUCCGGCUUCCUCUUCCGGAUCUGCUCUAAAUCAAUUUCCCUCUCCCUGGCCCGAGAAAUCAUAUCUUCCAGCGUAUACAACCGGACCUGCUCACGAACUCCCUGAUGUCAGCCCUCAACAUCUCGUGAUAACGGGCCUUCUUCAUAUCCUCAUCCGCGACAUACUGCGGUACAAGAUGAGCCAUCUCCCUGAACUUGGCGGUGAUCUCCGCCACAGUCUCAGUGGUCUGCGUCAAAUCCUGAAACUCCCGUGCCAACUGCUGCACCUCAAUAAUUGGCGAAAACUCCGCCCUGAACCUGGCCGAGAAAUCGCUCCAAGUCAUCGCGUCCAACGCGGCGUCAUCCCCCAGAGCAUGACCAAUCUCCUCCCACCAAUCCCUCGCUCUGUCCUUCAGAAGACAGGAAGCGAGUCUGACCUUGUCCCCCUCAGGACACCGGCUCGUACGGAAUGCGUUGGCAACAUCAGCCAACCAUCUGCUGCUAGCGAUGGGGUCCCUAGCCCCAUGAUAAUCUGGUGCCCCGCAAGCCCUGAACUCUCGAAAUGUCAAGGUACGCGCUCCCAUCAAUGCCAUCAUCUCGGUAUGGAAGGCUCCUAGCCUUUCAUCCAAGAUCUCCAGUAUACCCUCCUUGACCGUGCCAAAGAUCACAGGAGUCUGGUCUAGUAUGCUGCGCGGAACCUCAGCUGAUAUCAACUCCCUCAUUCGCUCCUCGAGCUGCUCGGAUCCUGAACCCGAGCCCGAUCCCUCUCCGGCUCCUGAUCCACCCAAUGGUCUCUCUCGCAACGUCACCAUGCUGAAAAUAUACCACAACCACUAUCAUAAUACUGAUCAUUGCUGCGAGAUCAAACACACCCUACCAGGUUCCCAGUCUUGUCUCGGCCUUUCCCGAAUCGAGUACGGAUCCUCUGCUUUCAGUAGUGCAGGCGCAUACUACCUUCCACAUCUAUCCGUACUUUCCUCAGGAAUUGCUUCGACUCCACCAGGUCCCUUAACCACUACUACUGCUCCCAGCACUAUCUCAUCCUAGGCUUACCCUAGGGAAACCUCUGACUCAACUCAACCAAUCCUCAGCUGCUGAAGGUCUCCUUGUGAUGCCAAUUAGCCAUUACCUGGAUACCAUCACAUGUGACGAGGCUCAGAUAAUCCUUCGAGUAAAAGACUCGUCCCUACAAUGGUUAGACUCAAACGAGAGCUGCGUAAUAGGACCAAAUCCAGCACUCUGAGAUUAUUCAACCCUGAUCACAUGUGACGUGACGUAUUCACCUAAUGGCUAACUCCCAUCACUCAGAAUCCCAUAAUGCACAAAGCAAGCAGCAUUCAGANUCAAGCGAUCAUAUCCACAUGGCAAGAAUUUGAACUAGCAUGCAACACAAACUCAUAGAGUCACACAAACUCAUAAACUCAGGCAUAACCUAAACAUGCUAUCCAACUACUGUCUAAUCAGCACUAUCAUGCAGCUCGAAGCACAUAUAAUAGGUACAUAAGGCAUCAUCCCUAGAUCCUUAGUCCUAAUCUAGCAUGCUCUUCUAUUAACUGAUAAUCAUAACAUAAACUUGUAUGGGUAUUUUGGGGUACUUACUUGAGCUCGGCUGAUUGCAUGCACCACACCCUUAUCUCUUAUCAAAAUUCUUUUCUUUCUGAAUUCUUUUCGCUUUUUGGAAAACUGUUUCAUUUCUAAAACUCUUUUUACAAAACUUUUCUUUUGAUUUUGAAAACUUUUAUCCCAAUCCCUUAGUUUGAGUUCAGACACACCCGAGGGUAUGUCUGAAUCCCUCAAACCAAGGCUCUGAUACCAACUUGUAACGUCCCAAAAUUCAAGACUAAAGAUUUCUUUUAAUAAAACAUUACUUUAAGCAAAGUCAACAAUCCAAAACAUAAACAGACUAUUAAUUUCCAGAACACAUGUUCGUUAUUAGAGCAAACAUUCCCAGACUGUCUAAUUAAUGGUGUAUGUCAUGCGAUCACCCCGAACUCUUCCCUCCGCUACCGGAAGUACCUGAAAACAAAACUGAAAACCGUAAGCACGAAGCUUAGUGAGUUCCCCACCCUACCACAUACCAUGCAUAACCACAUACUGCACAUACUGGGCCACGCCCGCUAUCCUGGGUCUCGCCCCCAACCUCGGGCCUCGCCCGCUACAACGGCCCCGCCGCUCCAGUCCCCACCUGGCUUCGAGCCCCACUCGGAUACAGAUCUGUUUCACUUAGGCCUCGCCUGUCACAGGGCCUCGCCCGCCAACAAAUAAUAACACAUAAACAUAUCACAACACAUAAGCUAAACACAUACGAACUGAUCUUGUCCUAUGGCCUUGCCUAUCCUGGGCCUCGCCCCUGCCCUGCUACUAAGGAGUCAUGGAACCCCGUCCAUGCUCCUACUGAUUAUGAGAUACGGGACCAACCCACACUCACUCUUUUCCUAACUCGGGGCCUCGCCCCUGAUCUGCUGCUAAUGAGAUAUGGAACACCAUCCACACUCUGCUAUUGGUGUGUUACGGGACCUCACCCACACUCACCUCCCUACCAGGCACAUACAAGCAUCACACAGACAACAAGUAUAAACUAUCACAUAAACCAUUCCUUGGGCACCCGCCCGCUACCACUGGACCUCGUCCUGAAUAUCAUACUAGCAUACUAUGUCUAGGGCUAACCCCCGGGUCUUCUACUCAUAACUACAUGGGUCGACAUUUUGGCCUUAGACCCAUUCACACAAAGGGAAACUCACCUGCACUGGCUGAACUUGCUGAUGAUCCCACUAGCCACUGCCCGACAACUCUCUGAACUCCUGCUCCACUCGCUCCCCGAGCUACCAAUAUCAACGCAACACUGAGUCUAACUGACCCCUGAAAGUCAACCAAGUCAACUCUGGUCAAAAUCAUCCUUCCAGGUCAACCCUACUCGCCGAGUUCAUAUGUUCAGAGUCCUUCCAUUCGCGGCUCCCCCCCCCCCCNAGUCCAUGACUCGCCGAGUCUACCGAUUUCCGAGUCCUGACCUGUCCAUCUCACCGAGUCUCCAUUCGACUCACUAAUUCGAGUCUCAACUCGAAGGGUUUGGGGUUUCGCGACCUGACUCGCCGAGUCCAAGACAACCUUCAACAGACUCGCCGAGUUGUUCAUCCCACUCGUUGAGUUCCUCCAAAUCUUCAUGCUACUCGCCGAGUCUACUCAAAGGAAUCGUCGAGUCCAUUCAGAUCUUCAAACAUGUAGAGGACUUUUGAGUCAUGCAUGGACUCCAAACUGUAGAUCUACCCUUCCCAAGCCUAUUCCUCACGUAAGGUUGCAAACUUUACGUGUAGAGAAGGAGAUCUAGGCUAAAUAAACCAUAAACUAGGUUUAAAGGCAAGGAGGCUCCAUAAUCAACUCAAGGACAGAUACUUUAUGCUUCUCAAGACCAUAAUAUGCUUAGAUCCGAAGUAGCAACUUCAGAUCUGGCUUCUAACUCAAAAGGAUAGCUAAUCAAGGCUAAAAAGCCCCUAAAACUUACAACCAUAAUAGAUCUAAAGGAGGGAAACGACUAAAUACCUUCAAUAACUCAGAAAGUUUCCCCAAUUUUCAGAUCUAAGGCCAAUCCUUGAAGCUUCAAUGAUUCCCCUCCUUCUUCUUCCUUCAAAUCACCCAAAAAUGGCUUGGAAGCUUGAAUGAGCAACAAUGGGGCUUAGGGUUCGAUGUUCUGGGUGAAAGAGGCAGUAAAGGAACCCUAGGGAGAGAAUGAGACGUUUAAAUAGGCUCCAAGUCCCGGAUUUAGGGUUUUCCUCGCCCAGACCAGACUCGCCGAGUCUCCUUGGCCGACUCGCCGAGUCGGUCACUUACUCCUCGACCCAGAUCCCGCUCGGACUCGCCGAGUUCCUCCUUGGACUCGCCGAGUCGUCCCUUAAAAUUAGGGUUUCCUUUCCUUUCUUGGCCUUUCUGACUUUGGGUGUUACAUUACUGCUAUCUUGUAAUUUCUUAUGUAGCAUCUCCGUAGGUGUGAUAUUUUAUCCUCGUCUUGUCGUCCAAAAAAAAGUUAUAAAUCUACCAUCGACAUUAAUUGUUGGGUCACGGCCCAGAACCCAUACAACUUGAGCAACCAACAAGUCAAGUCAACUUAACUACACAUACAUUAACACAAUACAAUUGGAAUGUUGUCUAGGGCAUAAAAUAUUUUGGGCCCAUUUUAGCCUAUCAAAUAAGUAACAUUAAUAAUGGGUUAAUGCCUAGCUAAUGGGAUACGAUGAUACGGGAAAUCGUAUUCGUAUGUGAGUUCUAUUAUGUAGUUACUUCUUAAACCAUUGCGCUCGAUUUCAAGUUCUCCAUUGCUUUCUUCAGUUUCAAUAAGAAUCGGGUAAAUUAUUUCUCUAGGAUGUUUGUCUUCUACAGGAUUUGUACUUUAAUACGUGAUAGUAUGGUUAUAUGCACUACUACAAAAAAGAGCAUUCGACCGCCAUAACCGUCGGUAAUCCGUCGCUAAUACUCUUUACCGACAGAAUUGUAACAGACCAAAAUCCGUCGGUAUAUUCUUAUCGCUAAUUGCUUGUAACAGAUUUCUAACCAGGAUGUUUAAAAUGGUCAUUUUACCCUAAGAAGGAUUAUCAAAUUUUGAUUAAGUGUUGCUAUGGAAUUGAUAGCCGGGGAGUCGCCGGAGCAGCAGACAGGGAUUCCUUACUCGAGUUUUUAGAAGUGAGUCUUGCGAGGUGAGUUCCCUUUCAGUAGGAACGGGUCAAAGGCACCAAGGUCGGCCCGUAUAUAUGAUAUGUUAGUAGCUGAGUGUGGGCGGGGCCCGAAUCUCCUAGCAGUCGAGUGUGGGUAAGGACCGAGUCUCAUAGUAUUAUUUGAGUAUAGUUAUGUGAUUGCUUUAUAGAUAUAUUUGUUGUCUGUGUGAUACUUGUAUGCAUGUUAGUAGUGGAGUGUGGGGGGACCGAAUCUCCUAGACAGCGGAGUGUGGGCGGGGCCCAAGUCUCCUAGACACCGGAGUAUGGGCGGUGCUUGAAUCUCCUAGACAGCGGAGUGUGGGCGGGGCCCAAAUCUCCUAGACACCGGAGUGUGGGCAAGGAUCGAAUCUCCUAGAUAGUGGAGUGUGGGCGAGCCCCAAAUCUCCUAGACAACGGAGUGUGGGCGGGGCCCGAAUCUCCAUGAGAGUGGGCGGGGCUCGUAUCUCCUAGGUGUAUGUUAUUUGUAUGGUAUGUGGUAGUUUGGGGGAGCUUACCAAGCUUCAUGCUUACGGUUUUCAAUUUUGGUUUCAGGUACUUCCACUAUCAAAGGGAAGGGAUCGGGAUGAUCGCAUGACACACACCACAGUCUUUAGUUUGGGAGAUUUACUCUGAUAUUUGAUAUGAGAUUUUCUGAUUAAGGCACCCUGUGAGUGUUAUGUUUCUGAGUUUUUUAACUGACAUCAUGUAGAGUUCUAACCUGAUCCUUGGAGAGAUUAGAAAAUGAUUAUGAAUUGUCAAGAAAAACCUGUUUCUGGUUCUGGUUCUGAUAUUAUGCCUAAAAUUUCUGUUUUUGGUUUUGAUUUUGUUGUUGUACUAUACCUACGUGUAACAUCCUUAAAAUAUAGAUAACUUUUUUUUUUUUUUUUUUAAUUUCAUUCAAAUCACACGACACUAAUAUCAAAAUAGUCAAAAGAGUAUCAUAGUAACAUGUUAUCAGAGUACAAAUUCCCAAAAUCACUAAGUGCGAAAAUCAUAGGGUGAUGCGGUGCAAUCAGGCCGAACCAUUCUCUUUCUAACUAGAAGUACCUAAACAUAAACUGAAAAGUAUAAGCACAAAGCUUAGUGAUUUUCCCCAACAUACCACAUACUAAACAAACAUAUUGCCAAGCAUAUCUAGGUGCUAGCCUACCCAUUCGGUCUAUUUCAACCGGAUAUUUACCAAACAUAUCUCGGUGCUUGCCUACCCCUUCGGUCUAUUUCAACUGGAUAAUAUCAAGCAUAUUCGAGUUCUUGCAAUCCCUUUCGGUCUAUUUCAACCGGAUAUCGGGUCUAUUUCUCCCCCUACUACUACCACAUAUUAUCAUAACACGAAUCACAUAAUCAAGCAAAUACAUGCAUAACUAACAAUUGUCACAAAGACGAUCAUCACACUACAUCAUAAACUAGUGGGCCGGCAUUGGCAUAUAUAUAUAUAUAUAUAUAUAUAUAUANUUCUUUGGACUGAUCAAGUAGAAUCCGAAAAAGAUAAGUAAGUGAGUUGUGAGACUAGUGAAUUUGGAUUGGGUAAAUUUUCAACUAUAUUUAUUUGGUCAUAUUGUUUAUUUACUAUAAUAUUUGGUCAUAUUGUUUAUUAGCUAUGUUUAUAUUGUUUUUCUUUGAUGUCAAUGAAUGUUGUAAACUCGUUACUUGAUGCUCAUCGUCGACCGGGAAAUAGCGAGGACUCGACCUAAGUGGGGAGAAUUUAGAUAGGGUAAAUUAUAAAGAAAUUAAUUUGGGGAAAAUUAUAUAUAUAAGUUAAGAAGGGUAUUAGCCGUGAAAACCCAAUUGGGUAUCUGAGUGUAUUUAUAUACAGUAAAAUUACAGAGAUAGGAAUGAGAUCCUAAAUACAAGGAUCAUAUAGUUACAACAGACAUUUGAUUUAUAAUCCUAUCUCUAAGCUAUCUAAGUUAUCCGUUACAUUCCCCCUCAAUCUUAACCGACACAAGGUUAACAUUGUGUCUUAGAUGCUGUAACAUUUGUUUGGUCAUCGGCUUUGUAAGUCCAUCAGCUAAUUGAUCACCAGAAGAGAUGAACCUGACAUCAAGUGCUCCCAUGGCCACCUUUUCCCUUACAAAAUGAAAACCCACCUCUAUAUGCUUCGUUCGUGCAUGAAAUAUAAGAUUUGCUGUUAGAUACGUUGCUCUAAGAUUGUCACACCACAAUACAGGAGGCCUUGGCUGAUGUACUCCUAAUUCUUUUAAUAAGGUCUGCAUCCAUGUAGCUUCUGCAGUACCGUUUGCAAGUGCCUUGUACUCAGCUUCGGUGCUGGAUCGAGCCACAGUUGGUUGCUUGCGAGAACUCCACGAUAUUAGGUUUGGACCAAAAAAUAUUGCAAAACCACCUGUGGAUCGUCGAUAAUCUGUACAUCCUGCCCAAUCUGCAUCAGUAAAUACACUUAAAAGUGUUGAUGUGGAACAUGUGAAGCGUAAUCCAGUAUUCACCGUUCCCUUAACAUAUCUUAAAAUUCGUUUGACAGCUUCCCAAUGAAUAUCAGUGGGUUUCGACAAGAAUUGGCAUAAUUUGUUAACUGCAAAGGAAAUAUCAGGGCGUGUUAGAGUGAGGUACUGUAGUCCUCUAACCAUGCUUCGAUAUUUGAACACAUCUUCCUCAGGUAGCGGCUUGCCAUGAUUGAGAGACAACUUAUCUGUUACUGACAUUGGAGUUGAGAUACUUUUACAAUUCUCCAUAUGAGCACGGUGUAGUAAAUCGAUAGCAUAUUUGUGUUGCAGAAGUGUGAUUCCCCCUGAAUUGUGAAUUACCUCAAGGCCAAGGAAGUAACUAAGUCUGCCAAGGUCUUUAAUAGGAAAGGAACAUGCGAGAGCUUGGACAAGCUUGUCGAUGGCGGACUUGGAGGAACCAGUAAUAACAAUGUCAUCGACAUAGACGAGCAUAUAAAUAAGAAUACCUCCAUGAUGAAAGAUGAACAAAGAGGUGUCCGCCUUAGAAGAAGUGAAACCAAACUGAUAUAACUUAUCACUUAAACGAGCAAACCAAGCUUUGGGGGAUUGCUUGAGGCCAUAUAUUGAUUUAUGAAGUUUGAAAACAUAACGGGGGUUAGUGGGAUCCUCAAACCCCGGCGGCUGUUGCAUAUAAACUUCUUCAUUUAGAAAGCCAUGGAGAAAGGCAUUACUGACAUCCACCUGUCGGAGAUGCCAUUGCCUAGAGACAGCUAAUGAUAGAAUUAAUCGGACGGUGGCCGCUUUAACCACUGGACUGAAGGUGUCAUGGAAAUCCACUCCAUGUUGCUGAGUAAAACCCCUAGCGACGAGACGAGCUUUUCGUUUAUCAAGAGACCCAUCCGGGUGUGUUUUAACUUUAAAGAUCCACUUGCAACUAAUGAUGUUAACACCUGGUGGUCGAGGAACAAGGGUCCACGUUUUAUUUUGCUGGAGUGCCAAGAAUUCGUCUUCCAUAGCAAGACGCCAUGCUGGGUCAGCAUAAGCUUUGUGAUAGGUGGUAGGAACAGCCAUAAAUGCUCGUCUGUUGACAUCAUAAAGAACAGUGCCAUCGGUGAAUUUGUGUGGACGUAUGACACCAGCUUAGCUGCGAGUAGUGACUCCCGGAGGAGAAGGAAUGGGUUGUUCACUUACUGUGGGAGACGCAGCAGCAGGGACAGGUAAAUCAGGUAUGACUGGAGGAGAAGGAGUGGGUUGUUCACUUAUUGACUUGUCUGGGACAGGUAUGAAUGGUGGUUCUAUAGCAGAUGGUGACAAUGGUUGAGAGAUGCUCACGUUUGGGAGCCCCUGCCAGAAAGGUGUACCUGCAGCUGCAUGAAUAUUGUGAGAUAACAAAGAAAGAUCAUAUCUACUCAGAUGAUCAUCAGUAAUUUCUGGUUCUAGUUGAGGAAAAGAGACCAGAUCAUGAGAUGUGCAUGUCGUUGGACAGUUGGAUGAGGAUGCAAAGGGAAAUCUAGAUUCGUCGAAAAUAACAUCACGGGAUAUAUAGAUUUUACCAGUGGUUCGAUCAAGGCAUUUGUACCCUUUGUGCAUGGAACUAUAUCCAAUGAAAACACACAUUUUGGACCGAAAAUCUAGUUUGUAAGAGUUGUAUUUUCAUAGGCUUGGCCAACACGCACACCCAAAAGUUCUCAGAAAAGUGUAAUCGGGUGUGAGAUGAAGCAAUCGAGUGAUGGGAGCAAUAUUGUAUGCGGUGGGACUAGGCAUGCGAUUAAUGAGAUAACAAGCGGUGAGGAAAGCUUCAUCCCAAAAUCGGAGUGGAAGGGAGUGAGCAAGUAAAGCUAGCCCUGUUUCAACUAUAUGGCGAUGCUUGCGUUCUGCAAUACCAUUUUGUUGUGAGGUAUGUGGUCAAGAAACACGGUGUGAAAUGCCUUUUGUUUGAAAAUAUUUGUUGAGUUUGUGAUAUUCACCUCCCCAUUCAGAUUGGAUCAUACAAAUUUUGGUAUUCAAUAGACGCUCAGCGUGAUGUUGGAAGUUGUAAAAUAUUUUUUCAACAUCAUAUUUGUGUUUAAUAAGAUAUAUCCAGGUGAAACGACUGAAAUCAUCAACAAAACUGACAUAAUAUUUAUAACCACCACUAGAUACUUGAGCUGGUCCCCAAACAUCCGUGUGGACGAGCUCAAGUGGAAAAGAAGAAACAUGCAAAGAGUUUUUGUAUGUUAAUUGAUGACUCUUAGAUCGUUGACAAGCGUCACAGAUGAAGUGUUUAUUAAUAUCAAAAGACACUCCUAAUUUAUUUGACUUCAGAAUUGAACUAACUACUGCUGAACUUGGAUGCCCUAACCGUUGAUGCCAUUGAGACUUGGUCACUUGAGAACUUGAAAACGUUUGAUGAGGUAAUCGAAUAGAUGAAUGACGAAGUGGCACUGGGUACAAGCCUCCUUUGGUUUUACCGGCCAGGAGGAUUCUUUUUUUUGCCUUGUCCUUAACAAAGAAAGCAUGAUUGUGAAGUUCAAUAAAAACAUUAUUAUCCGAAACAAGUUUAUGGGCAGAAAGUAGAUGCUUUGAAAUUUGAGGGACUCUAAGGAUGUUUUUAAGGACAAGAGUUUUUCCUAGACCAGAAAUUUUUGAAUGACCAAUAUGAGAGAUGUUCAAACCUGUGCCAUUGGCAACUUGAACUUGAUCUUUUCCUUGAUAACGAUCUUGGACAAUGAGACGAUCCAAAUCACUUGUCAAGUGAUCGGUUGCUCCACAAUCAAUGUACCAGUGAGGAUCAAUGUUGUAGAUUCUAGUAGUAACACUGUUUCCCCCACGAUAUUCUUUAUUCUGAUAGGCAUGGUUGAACCUGUUGCGACACGUUAAGGCACCAUGACCAGGAAUACCACAUACCUGACAUCUUAGACCACCAUUGCCUCUACCCCUGCCUCUUCCACGUCCACGUCCACGAUAAUUGCCUCUGUUAUUGAAAGAAUUGUUGUUGUUGUUGUUACGACGUGAAGGAUUUUGAUCUUGACGAGUAACAGUGUUGGCAAAGGUAGUAAAAUCGGGCGUACUAUUCAUAAUACUAGCUUGUGCCUCAUGAGCAAUUAAAUACAAAUAAAAAUCAGGUAGAGUUACCGAAUUCUGGUUGCUCAUUACUGUGAUAGCAGUGACCAGAUCGCCAUGACCUGGGCCAAGUCCAGCAAGAAUGUAUCCAAUAACUUCUUCAUCUGUCAUUGGAUGGCCUAUGUUGGCCAUGGUAUCGGCAAGGCUGGUCAUCUUGUGAUAGAAUUCUGAUGCAGUCAUAUCUCCCUUCUUGGUUGUGGAGAGUUGAGUUCGUAUUUGGAUGGAGUUACCUCGAUGUUGGGCUGAGAACAUAGUCUGCAGUGAAGUCCAGAGUUCAUUGGACGUGUUUGCACACCUUGUGACUUGAGCAAGUACUUCUUCUGUCAUGGAGGACAAAAGAGCGCCGACAAUUGCUUGAUCUUGAACAAACCAGGAAGCAUAUUGGGGGUUAUCGAUUUCUCUAACAUCUGCACCUGUUCCAGUUGUGAUUUUGGAAUUAGGUUUGGGUAUGGUGCCAUCAAGGUAUCCAAACAAUUGAACUCCUCGCAAUAUAGGAACUACUUGGAUUUCCAUAGGAGAAAGUUUGUGCGAGUGAGUUUGCACGAGAUUGCAGUGGCAAUCUUGGCAGAGUUGAUUUGAGAAGCAGAGGUAGACAUAGUGAGAACCGGAUAGAGAAACUAGUAGCCGGAAUAGUAGAGAAAGAGAAGAAUUUCGGAGCCCUAGAAUCAAGCUCUGAUACCAAGUUAAGAAGGGUAUUAGCCGUGAAAACCCAAUUGGGUAUCUGAGUGUAUUUAUAUACAGUAAAAUUACAGAGAUAGAAAUGAGAUCCUGAAUACAAGGAUCAUAUAGUUACAACAUACAUUUGAUUUAUAAUCCUAUCUCUAAGCUAUCUAAGUUAUCCGUUUACAAUAUAUAUAUAUAUAUAUAUAUAUAUAUAUAUAUAUAUAUANNNNNNNNNNNNNNNNNNNNNNNNNNNNNNNNNNNNNNNNNNNNNNNNNNNNNNNNNNNNNNNNNNNNNNNNNNNNNNNNNNNNNNNNNNNNNNNNNNNNNNNNNNNNNNNNNNNNNNNNNNNNNNNNNNNNNNNNNNNNNNNNNNNNNNNNNNNNNNNNNNNNNNNNNNNNNNNNNNNNNNNNNNNNNNNNNNNNNNNNNNNNNNNNNNNNNNNNNNNNNNNNNNNNNNNNNNNNNNNNNNNNNNNNNNNNNNNNNNNNNNNNNNNNNNNNNNNNNNNNNNNNNNNNNNNNNNNNNNNNNNNNNNNNNNNNNNNNNNNNNNNNNNNNNNNNNNNNNNNNNNNNNNNNNNNNNNNNNNNNNNNNNNNNNNNNNNNNNNNNNNNNNNNNNNNNNNNNNNNNNNNNNNNNNNNNNNNNNNNNNNNNNNNNNNNNNNNNNNNNNNNNNNNNNNNNNNNNNNNNNNNNNNNNNNNNNNNNNNNNNNNNNNNNNNNNNNNNNNNNNNNNNNNNNNNNNNNNNNNNNNNNNNNNNNNNNNNNNNNNNNNNNNNNNNNNNNNNNNNNNNNNNNNNNNNNNNNNNNNNNNNNNNNNNNNNNNNNNNNNNNNNNNNNNNNNNNNNNNNNNNNNNNNNNNNNNNNNNNNNNNNNNNNNNNNNNNNNNNNNNNNNNNNNNNNNNNNNNNNNNNNNNNNNNNNNNNNNNNNNNNNNNNNNNNNNNNNNNNNNNNNNNNNNNNNNNNNNNNNNNNNNNNNNNNNNNNNNNNNNNNNNNNNNNNNNNNNNNNNNNNNNNNNNNNNNNNNNNNNNNNNNNNNNNNNNNNNNNNNNNNNNNNNNNNNNNNNNNNNNNNNNNNNNNNNNNNNNNNNNNNNNNNNNNNNNNNNNNNNNNNNNNNNNNNNNNNNNNNNNNNNNNNNNNNNNNNNNNNNNNNNNNNNNNNNNNNNNNNNNNNNNNNNNNNNNNNNNNNNNNNNNNNNNNNNNNNNNNNNNNNNNNNNNNNNNNNNNNNNNNNNNNNNNNNNNNNNNNNNNNNNNNNNNNNNNNNNNNNNNNNNNNNNNNNNNNNNNNNNNNNNNNNNNNNNNNNNNNNNNNNNNGACUAAACUUGACUUUUUAUUUUUGGCCCAGAAGCCAUACAAGUUGAGCAACCAAUUACCCAACCCAAACAUUUAUUUUUGGCCCAUUUUAGCCUAUAAAUAUCAAUCAAUUAACUUCAUAAAAUUGCGUUUUACAAAAAAAAAAAAAAAAAUAUGGUAAUGGAAUGGGAUAUGGCGGCAGCGACGUCCAAGAUAUAGUCGUAGGUUUUACUGAUCAGAGGCGAUUCUGCUUAACUUCUACAUUGCUCGAUCAGGUGCAUUAACUUUCCUUGUCUUCUAGAAGAUUAUUUGAACGUUAAUGGGGUGAUGAUAUGGUGAUUUUUUUUAAUUUCAUCAAUUGUAAUUAAACAUUAACUUUUUGCUGCAUAAUUAUUCUUAGAGCUGGAUGUCAACCUAUGAUAUAUUACUUUUGCCAAAUCAUAUUUCCACAACUUUAAGUCUUUAACCAAACAAGUAAUAUGCUUUUCUCAUGGUAAUAAACUCUAAAACAGAUGCUUUUAUACAUACUGGACAAAUAAUUUACUCCAACUUUGAACAUUCAUAAAUAUCAAUUUUUUUUUCAUAACGAGUCUAUGUUUGUGUACUGCUCACUUCCAAACUUGGGAUUGAUCUGUUUCAGGUUUAUAUGAUUCUUGUUUCUAAUUAGAUUCCACCUUCCCAUUAGUUUUUGAAUUUUUUCCCCUUCAUUCUGAGUUUUAUUAGUUUAAAUACAAAUCCAGAUAUGAAACUGAUUACCUUUAAAAUAGUGUGCAGAUAAAGUGGUUUUCCUUAGUUUGUUAGAUUGUGUAGGGCUUGAUUGGAUUUGGCCUUUUGUUAAGAGCAUUCGUUUCUUCCAUUGUAUAUAUCAGAUUUUGCGUGAAUUGGCAGUAACAUAAGAAUUUAAUUAAAAACAGGAUAAUCAUACCUUUUUCUUUUUCUUAUACGAAUCUCUUGAAUGUUUAUUUCUUUUUUUGCAAAUGUAGGAAUGGGUAAGAGAAGGAGUAUGCUUAGAAAAAAGAAGUAUGAUGAGGCGCGUAGUAGGAUUACAAUCAAUAGUGGCGUGGCACCUUGGUCAGAUCUUCCUCAUGACGUGCUUGUAUUAGUUAUGAUGAAACUUGGAGUCAUUGAUUUCGUUGCAUUCAGCAGAGUUUGUAAGUCAUGGAGAUCAGUUGCUCUUUCUAAUAGGAACAAGUUUAUAGUGUCGAGACCACCCAUGUCUGUAUCUAUCUACUCAGAAGCUAAAGAGAAAGGGUUCUACUACCUGAAGGACUUUGAAGGAAGAAUAUUGAGAAUCAUUCUUCCCCAUUCUGCUAUGAGGAGGUGGUGUGUUGGAGUAACUUGUGGUUACUUGGUUUUGUUUGAUGAGGAAUACGACGGAUUCUGGCUUGUGAAUCCCAUCACAAGGCAUGAACUUUAUUUUCCUGGUACCCCCUGUGCAUACUUUUCUUGCCCUGGAGAUACAGAACCUUUCCUCGUCUUUUCACCUUUAAUAUCCGAAUGGGUGUUGGUUGUGGUUAUUGCAUGCAGUACUGAUAAAAUAUGGUUUUGUAUAGCGGAUAAAGUAGGAUGGCAUUAUGUCUCCUCCCCUUUCCCCCCUAUCAAUGAUUUACAUGCUUUCAAGGGGAAGAUAUAUACCAUACACUAUUUUUCUACAUCAGAUGAAGUGAAGCUAUGUGAAUUGAAACUCUUUCCAGAGGCUGAACUGGUGUUACUCGAAACCAAGAAUUUUCCGAAACCAAAUUUCAGAUAUCCGGGAUUUGUGACUUCUGGUGAAAAUCUUUAUGUCAUAGAUCGUGGUUCAAAAAAACAUCCAUACAAUAUUCAUGAGAUAGAUCUUGACCAAAUGAUAUUCGUGUCAAGUGAAAAGAAAGCUGAAGAAUAUGCCUUCUUUCUUAUCGAGUUUAUUUCUGGUUCCCUUCCCCCACACCACGGAAGAUAUGUUGUUUCUGAUAAAAAUGGAAAGGGCGGGUCGUUUCAUGCAAAAAUCUGGUAUUUAUUCUUUGAUUGUUUGAAUGUUGAUCUCAUACAUGAGUGAUCACUUAAUUGUUAGCACCUUUAUCUUUGACUUUAAUAUAGACAUAUCUUAGAACAUCAUUGUCAAGGCUUUAUAGAACCAUCAUUGUCUUAAUCAGCAUCUUCAAUUUUUUUUAUUUGGUUUUGGCUCACCCUUUUUGCUUCGGGUGUAUGCAAUAAUGCAAAUGUCAAUUAUAUAUCAUUAAAGGGGGUGUUUGGCUUAGCUUUUCACAGCCAAAAGUCAUUUUUGAAAAAGAAAAAGAAGCAAAAGAUGUAUGGCAAACUAGUUUUAAAAGUCACUUUUGAAGUUUUUACAUAAAGAAAAGGAACUUUUUGAAAAAGUUAGGAAAUCCUGAUUUUUGUAACUUUUCCAAAAAGAACUUUUGAGGUUUGAAAAGCUAAACCAAACACCCCUUUAUAUUCUUUUUUUUUUUUUUUUUUUUUUUUUUUUUUUUUUUUUUUUUUUUCCAUUUAUGCCUAAUGCAUUAUGUGUUGCGCAUUGGCAUGAUAUAUAUUUUGUUGGGAAUGCCGUACCUUUUGUUGGUCUUUUAGUUUUCCCACAAUGAUUUUUCUCUCACGACAACCAUUAGUUUAUCAUGAAUCAAAUACAAAAUUGUAUGCACAUGAUUUUGGUGUCAUAAUUUGUAUAGCAGCUGUUGUUACUUUGUUACACAGUCGUGUUUAUCAAACAAAGGAUAGUGUGAGAAUGGAUGAUCCCUAUAGUCAGGCCGGCCUGGAGAUUUUGAAGACCCAUUGCAAUUUAAUAAAAAUGAGUCCUAAAUUUUGAAAAACCUCAAAGAUUUAAGCAAAAAUAUUAUAAAUUUUAAUUUCCUACUGCAAAUACAUAAAAUUAAAAUUUCAAUCAAAAUAAUACACAAAAAAGAAAAUGGCUUCUAUAUUAUUGGCUUCUUGGUUCUAGAUUUUCCACACUUCAAAUCACCAAAAAGGGAUCAAAACUGUAAAAAAAAAAAAAAAAUCGAAAUCAUCUGAUAUGUUUCAUUAUCAGGAAAAAAGCAAAACAAUGAUAUUAUAUCAGAAAUCAGAAAAUGACUUUAUGAUUUUCGACGCUACAAAUCAGAAUUUACCUUAAUUCCUUGUUCCUUUUGAGUUAUGAUUUACGAAAACUCAUAUCAUUGUUCCUCCGAUUUACUGAUUACUAAUUUGGAAGUAGUAGAAAAAGAAAAAAGAAAAACUGAUCAGAAAUUUGCAGCUUCUGAAAAAAGAAAAAUUGAGGACAAAACUAAAGUUGAAUGUUACCUUCUGAUUUUGAAACUUCAAGCAGGUAACAAAUCUGAGGCUUCUAAAAUCGUUGGUAAGCUUUGUUAGAACUGAAAUCGUUGGUAAGCUUCAUAGUUUUGAGAAGAAAGAAAAAGAAGUAAGAUUGUUGAUCGCUUGUGUCUUUGAUAUUGGAAUGGAAUCGACUUAUGCUUCCUGUCACCCAUGUGUGCGUUAUUAGUGAUGAAGAAACCAGAAACCAAAGAGUUUUUUUGUUUUCCCAAAAAUUAUCCUGCUCCCUCCUUGCUGCAUC